rnacentral:rRNA from 1 species
AUUGAACGCUGGCGGCAGGCCUAACACAUGCAAGUCGAGCGGAUGACGGGAGCUUGCUCCUUGAUUCAGCGGCGGACGGGUGAGUAAUGCCUAGGAAUCUGCCUGGUAGUGGGGGACAACGUUUCGAAAGGAACGCUAAUACCGCAUACGUCCUACGGGAGAAAGCAGGGGACCUUCGGGCCUUGCGCUAUCAGAUGAGCCUAGGUCGGAUUAGCUAGUUGGUGAGGUAAUGGCUCACCAAGGCGACGAUCCGUAACUGGUCUGAGAGGAUGAUCAGUCACACUGGAACUGAGACACGGUCCAGACUCCUACGGGAGGCAGCAGUGGGGAAUAUUGGACAAUGGGCGAAAGCCUGAUCCAGCCAUGCCGCGUGUGUGAAGAAGGUCUUCGGAUUGUAAAGCACUUUAAGUUGGGAGGAAGGGCAGUAAGCUAAUACCUUGCUGUUUUGACGUUACCGACAGAAUAAGCACCGGCUAACUCUGUGCCAGCCGCCGCCGCGGUAA